rnacentral:other from 1 species
CGCCGCCUGUUGUGUGCGAGUAGGCCCAAAUCCCUUAGAACCUAGAAUUCGCAAAGGGGCUCCUUGAUAGGCGUGCUGUUGUGCACGUCCGUCGUGAACGGAAAGCCUGAUGCGCGCUUUGGGACCCCCACUUGGACCGUUCGGUUCAAGGUACCGGGCCGAUACGGCAUAUACGGGUGGCGU